rnacentral:rRNA from 1 species
CAGCAGCCGCGGUAAUACGUAGGGUGCAAGCGUUAUCCGGAAUCAUUGGGUUUAAAGGGUCCGCAGGCGGACGUAUAAGUCAGUGGUGAAAGCCUACAGCUUAACUGUAGAACUGCCAUUGAUACUGUAUGUCUUGAAUGUGGUCGAAGUGGGCGGAAUAUGUCAUGUAGCGGUGAAAUGCUUAGAUAUGACAUAGAACGCCGAUAGCGAAGGCAGCUCACUAGGCCAUAAUUGACGCUCAUGGACGAAAGCGUGGGGAGCAAACAGGAUUAGAUACCCUGGUAGUCCACGCCGUAAACUAUGAUUACUCGUUCUCGGCGAUACACAGUCGGGGACCAAGCGAAAGUGAUAAGUAAUCCACCUGGGGAGUACGAUCGCAAGGUUAAAACUCAAAGGAAU